AUAGGGAUAAUCGUAAGAAAUGAGUUUUAAUGUCUGGAAUCUCAAAGAGAUGCUCUGUAUUCCCUCAGGCUCUGAGAACACUAAAUCAUCUAACUGGAAUAAUCAUCAAACUGAUUAUUCCAGUCUCAGUGAUUCCCAGUUCCUCUUUGGAUCUCAGUUCUGUUCAGAAAAUUCAGAAAUCUUGUCAGUACCCUUGGACUUUGGUGGCCACUUGAGACAUCCAAAACAGUCACAACAGAAUUCUCUGGAGAGUGAACCUAGUAUUUUCACAAAGUACCAGACAAAACCCCAGCUGUUUGGAGGAGAUAAAAAAGAUAGAGGCUUAUUUUCUCUUCCUUUGUCAGUUGGAAAAUCAAAAGGCCUCUUGGAACAGUUUGAGGAGAAAAAGAAAAAAGCAAAAGACAAAUGUGACAG